rnacentral:rRNA from 1 species
UACGAAGGGUGCAAGCGUUACUCGGAAUUACUGGGCGUAAAGCGUGCGUAGGCGGUUCGUUAAGUCUGGUGUGAAAGCCCUGGGCUCAACCUGGGAAUGGCAUUGGAUACUGGCGACCUAGAGUGCGGUAGAGGGGUGUGGAAUUCCCGGUGUAGCAGUGAAAUGCGUAGAUAUCGGGAGGAACAUCUGUGGCGAAGGCGACACCCUGGACCAGAACUGACACUGAGGCACGAAAGCGUGGGGAGCAAACAGG